ensembl:lncRNA
CAGUGAUGAUCGGACACAGGAGGCCAGACACCGUGUGGUCCCACUCCUGUGAGGUCCCUGGAGGGGUCAGGUUCACAGGGGGAGAAAGGGGGAGGGUGGGCGCUGGGGGCAGGCGGUGUUUAACGGGACGGAGCCCGUUUGGCAGGAUGGACAGUUCCAGAGGUCUGCUGCACAGUAGCGGGCAUGCCGUUCACACAGCUGUCCUGCACCCCUAACGGUGUGUGCCAGGGACAAGUGUAUGUUCCCGACACGGUUGAGCACAAAGCCUCCUGUGACCCCGUGCUGUCGUGUAAGGUCCGUGCUCCCCCCCGCCCCGUGACCGGCGGGCGGCCCUGGGGGAUCUGCUUCCCUCAGGGUCCCGAUGACCUGGUCCCAGGCUGCCUCUCCAUCCUCAUCCCUGUCGGAGGAACGCCCGCGCCCGAGGCAGUGACGCCAGGGAUGUGUUGAGGCAUCAGAGACAGAGGGGCUGAGCUCAAGCCCCGACUGAGAGGAGAAGCCGGUCUUAUAAAGAGUCCUGGCAGGAACGUGUGCGGGGGUCCAAGGUGGGGACGUGCAGGAAGGACAGCGAACGGAGGGCUACACGUUUGGGGAGGGGUCGGGGGGGGUCGAGUCCCAUGACCUGCUGAUUGUGGCCAGGAAGGGAAAAAUAAUGAGAGAAGAUGGUUGGGGUCUGAGUCUCACAACCAGAGAAAUACAGCAGGAAGUGACGUUCGGGGGCAGGUGCUCUUUACAGGCGGUUUGUUUGCAGGCAGUUGUCUUCUGUGGACCGUGGUCUUGCUGCCCAGCUCCGAGUGGCUGUAUUCCCAGGGAGGGGCUUACUCCAUCUCCAGGGAGCCUAGCAAUCCCCAGCCAGUAACUUCCUGAGGUUCGCUAACGAAGGCUCCGAGGUCUGCGCCUUCCCCACCCCUGGGGCUGGGGCAUAAGCAUGACAAGGUUUUUCUGCUCAGAAACUCGGCCUCUGUCCACCGUCCCGAACAGAAAUGGGGAAACGGAGUUUUGGGUGACGGAGAAAAAGACAGCUCUAUUGCUUUGCUAGGCAAAGGAGGCCACAGCAGCCUAUCGCCUUAAAGACUGUGCCCCCACCCCCGGGAGCGAUCAGGAGGGUUUACAGUUUGGGGAGCGGAAAAUAGGGCCGCAGACGAGGAUCAGGGCAGAGACAAGCCUGCAGUGUUCAGCGGCCGCAGGACUGGUGCUGGUGGCCUCCUUUCCGGAGUGAAGAAUGUUCCAUCAAGCAGUUAACAUCUCCCCUGUGUCAAGGGGUUCACGCACAUUCCUGGAGGCGGAACGGGGACCCAGCCCCACGUCUGAACUGCUAUCUCUUGACGGCUCCUCCCUGGUCUCUGCAUCCUUCCCUUCCCGGAUGAGCAGCUGCGUGAACCUGAACCUGCCCUUUGGAGCGCAGUCAUGGAGGCUGACGCUUAGUCCCUGAAAAUAAGAAACGGGGGACACAGAAGGGCGUGUGUGCCCAGGAGCCCCACAGCUUGGUUUCACGUCUUCCCCUGCUGACCACAAGGCACUUCUCCAAGGACACCUCAGGCAGCCCUUAACGGAGAUGGGGUUCGUGAUUUAGGCAUCGGCAGUCACCUCCUCAGGCCUGGCAGCACCUCUCUGCAGGAACGCAGACGUGCAGGUGGUGACACAGAAGCGGCAUGUAAACAUCCUGACCUGACGGCCUUCCGUCCUCAGGACAGUUUGGUGAGGUCACGGCCAGAUCAGGACAGAGAAGGACACAUGAGGGCCAGGUGCACACCUGUUAGAGCCCUGGGUAUCCACUUCCACUUUUCUCCUGCCCCUCCCUGAUGCUCCACUUUACUCUGGUUCUGGUUCUUUGGCUCAGAGUUAGGGUUAAAACAUAAGCAGAGAUGGGACACCUCCCAACUUCUGAUGGCAUGACAACCAGUAAGUGAAGAGAGAGAAUGGAAAUUUUAAAAAGCACUAUUUGGAGGUGUUUCCGUCGUGGCUCAGUGGUCAACGAAUCCGACUAGAAACCAUGAGGUUGUGGGUUCGAUCCCUGACCUCACUCCGUGGGUUAAAGAUCUGGCAUUGCCGUGAGCUGGGGUGUAGGCCACAGACGCAGCUCAGCUCCUGCCUUGCUGUGGCUCUGGCGUGGGACAGCAGCUGCAGCGCCGAUUAGACCCCUAGCCUGGGAACCUCCAUAUGCUGUGGGAGCGGCCCCAGAAAAGGCAAAAGACUAAAUAAAUAAAUAGCAAGCACUAUUUGGCAAUGAUCUUAGUGAUUCAAGCUGAAGCCACUGACGGAGGUUAAGGCUGUCAGACGGAGGUUGUCGAGGGACAUAACGGUUGAAUCUCUGAAUAUCUCCCCACAAAUACCAAUCAAUGCACAAACCAAAAAAAAAA